rnacentral:rRNA from 1 species
GAUCCUGGCUCAGAAUCAACGCUGGCGGCGUGCCUCAGACAUGCAAGUCGAACGCGAAAGUUCCCCUUCGGGGGCCAAGUAGAGUGGCGCACGGGUGAGUAACACGUAGGUAAUCUACCUUCGGAUGGGGAAUAACAACCGGAAACCGGUUGCUAAUACCGCAUAAUGCAGCGGCACCUAAUGGUGACAGUUGUUAAAGCGGGGGAUCGAAAGACCUCGCGUCUGAAGAGGAGCCUGCGGCGGAUUAGCUAGUUGGCAGGGUAACGGCCUACCAAGGCGACGAUCCGUAGCCGGCCUGAGAGGGCGGUCGGCCACACUGACACUGACAUACGGGUCAGACUCCUACGGGAGGCAGCAGUCGGGAAUUUUGGGCAAUGGGCGAAAGCCUGACCCAGCAACGCCGCGUGAAGGAUGAAAUCCCUCGGGAUGUAAACUUCGCAAGAACGGGAAGAAUAAGUCUGCGUUAACAUCGCAGGCGAUGACGGUACUGUUUGUAAGCUCCGGCUAACUCCGUGCCAGCAGCCGCGGUAAUACGGGGGGAGCAAGCGUUGUUCGGAUUUACUGGGCGUAAAGGGCGCGUAGGCGGCCACCGCAAGUCAAUUGUGAAAUCUCCGGGCUUAACUCGGAAAGGUCAACUGAUACUGCGGGGCUAGAGUGCAGAAGGGGCAACUGGAAUUCUCGGUGUAGCGGUGAAAUGCGUAGAUAUCGAGAGGAACACCUGCGGCGAAGGCGGGUUGCUGGGCUGACACUGACGCUGAGGCGCGAAAGCUAGGGGAGCGAACG